AGUACGGCCGCAAGGUUAAAACUCAAAUGAAUUGACGGGGGCCCGCACAAGCGGUGGAGUUUGUGGUUUAAUUCGAUGCAACGCGAAGAACCUUACCUACUCUUGACAUCCACGGAAUUCGCCAGAGAUGGCCUUAGUGCCUUCGGACCGUGAGACAGGUGCUGCAUGGCUGUCGUCAGCUCGUGUUGUGAAAUGUUGGGUUAAGUCCCGCAACGAGCGCAACCCUUAUCCUUUGUUGCCAGCACGUAAUGGUGGGAACUCAAAGGAGACUGCCGGUGAUAAACCGGAGGAAGGUGGGGAUGACGUCAAGUCAUCAUGGCCCUUACGAGUAGGGCUACACACGUGCUACAAUGGCAUAUACAAAGAGAAGCGAACUCGCGAGAGCAAGCGGACCUCAUAAAGUAUGUCGUAGUCCGGAUUGGAGUCUGCAACUCGACUCCAUGAAGUCGGAAUCGCUAGUAAUCGUAGAUCAGAAUGCUACGGUGAAUACGUUCCCGGGCCUU
rnacentral:rRNA from 1 species